GCUCCCGUAGCUCAAUCGGUAGAGCGUGAGACUUUUACGAUGUGUGUCGUGGUUAUCUCAAGGCCGCGGGUUCGAGCCCCGCCGGGAGCU